GCUUCCUUCCACACCGGUGGCCUGGAUCGCUCCGUCUCGCUGUGGAAGGACCAGCGUCUCCGCGUGGGUCAGGAGGCAGCCAUUGGCGGAGCCCCCGUCGGAGCCCAGGCCCCGUCCUACCGCCGGGUCCCGUCCUUUCCCGUCGGGAAGCACUCUCUGCUGGCGGGGGCUCUGAGCUGGAUUUUUAUGACCAUGGCCUCUGCCCCCGGCUCCUCCCAGGUCAUGAUGUGAACAGCCGAGGCUGGUAGUAACCACCUUCCUGUCUCUGCUGUACCCGUCUCGGCUAAUCCAGCCGGACUUCUGGUGGUGCUGGAGGUUAAACGGCACCGCGAGGCAAGAGGAGAUUAGUCUUGGGCUUUAACAAACUUCCCGCAAACAGAGUAUCUGAAAAGAAACAUUUGUUGAAGACACCACUGUUGGAGAAUGUGUCACCAGACCCCCGGUCCAUGUCUUGGCUGAGGCCUGAGAUCUGAUUCAGCUCCUUGGCGCCCCAGGGGAGGCGAGCCCUGGAGCCGGUCGUACGGGGAAAAUGGAAGCUCAGAGACACUAAGGAAGCCGUGUGGUUGAUGAGAAGAGGACCAGACGGCCACCCAGGCCAGCUCCCCCGCCGCCCCACGGGGAGAGCCUGGGCCAGGGCAGAGGAAAGCCAGAGGCGGAACCCAGGGAGGCAAGGGCUUGCAGCCCCCGGUGAGGAAUUUGGACUUUAUCCUGGAGGCCAGUGGGUCUCAAUCCUGGCUGCACAUUGGAUCCUCCGGAGAGCUCUGAGGAUGACUACUGCCUGGGUCCUACCCCAGGAAGUCUGACUCGGCUGUUUUUUUGGUUUGGUUUGGUUUGGUUUGGUUUUUUAUAUUGGAGUAGAGUUGAUUAACAGUGCUGUGUACACUGUUUGCUGAGUACAGCAAAGUGGUUCAGUUAUACAUAUACAUGUAUCUCAUCUUUUUCAGAUCCUUUUCCCAUUUAGGUCAUUGCAGGAUAUUGAGCAGAGUCCCCGGGCUGUAGAGAAGGUCCUUGGUGGUUGUCCCGUUUAAGCACAGCAGUGACGCAGCUGUUGGUUUCGAAGCUCUCCAAGCGAUGCUGUCGUGCAGGCCAGGCUGUGAUGGGAACUGCCGUCAUGUUGUCACACACGGUCACGAGGCCUGCUUUUCACUGACCCUUCGCAGGGACGCCGGGGCCCGAGGCCACGCCCUCGCGCCCCAGCUGCCCCGAGAGCCCUCACAGAGGCGUUACCCUCUUCUCCCAAGCCAGUCUGCGAGCUCCGGCCGCCCCACGCUGUCCCCUCCGUUUCUGGCCCCCGCCCCCCAGAGGGCGCUCAGCCUCUCGCACUCUGGAAGCCUUUGCGCCCACGCUAAAGCUUGCGGCGAGGAGCUCCAAACAUUGCCAUCAUACUGAUGACAUUUUAUUGUUACAGAGAAAAGUAAUUUUAAAAUGUAUACAUCAUCCACAUUUCAAUUUUUUUCUCUCUGGAAACUUUACUUCCCCACAUGGCUGGAACAUAAACAGACCAAGAGGACCACGGUGACCUGCAGAAAGCAAGUGAGCGGAACUGACCUCCCGGUGACUGUUGUUAUUCUAGAGUCAACGAGUUGAGAGCUUUGCCCCGCAGGGUCUUCAUCUCCUGCCUUCUCCAGUGGCUGUGCUUGGUCUCUCACCUCUCUAAGCAUAUACAUCAAACACAGACCUGGCAAGGCGCAUCAGGGCCCUAAAGAAGCACCACCAACCUGCCGCCGGGCCCAGCGUUGCGAGAGAUGCCUUGCGAAGGUCGGAGGGCUGUUUGUCCGCAUACACAGUUGAAACCACGCUGAGCGAUCCCUUAGUUACCAGUGGAAACACCCGACUGGUAAGUGGCUCAAGCCUGGUUUCCAGUCUGAGCCGCACCAGUUUCUCAGCAGAGCCACGUGACCUAAGCUCUCAGCCGCCGUUUCCAGACGCACACCUCGUGUGCAUCCCGUCCCCCAGGACUGUUGCAAAGGGGAAACGAGAACUUAUUCGUACACAUCCCGGCGUGAUGGCUUCUAAAGGCUCAGUUGGCAGGAGCUGGUUCUUCAUGUUUAUGAGUCAAGUGGACGCACAGUAUCUCUGACUCUGGUAAUAGCUCCAGAAGGUGGGAAUCAAGAGGGAGGGCUCUGCACCUGGGUGGAGGAGUGGCUGAUGUGGAGGCCAGAUGUCGCCGGUGUGGCGAGGGGCAGAACUUUCCAGAUAUCUGGGAGGACGUGAUGAGUGUAUUUGGUUGGAAGCACAGAUGUCUAAGGGCUGUGAGCUCAGCUAUACGAUCUGCCCAGAUAGAAGAAUUCAAUACAGAAUUAAGUGCUUCUCCCCUAUAUUCACAGCAGCACUAUUGACAAUAGCCAAGACAUGGAAGCCACCUAAAUGUCCAUCGACAGAGGAAUGGAUAAAGAAGAUGUGGUACAUGUAUACAAUGGAAUAUUAGCCAUAAAAAAGAAUGAAAUAAUGCCAUUUGCAGCAACAUGGAUGGACCCAGAGAGUCUCAUACUAAGUGAAGUAAGUCAGAAAGAGAAAGACAAAUACCAUAUAAUAUCACUUAUAUGUGGAAUCUAAAAUAUGACACAAAUGAACUUAUCUACAAAACAGAAACAGACUCACGGACAUAGUGAACAGACUGGUGGUUGCCAAAGUGGGGGAGGAGUGAAUUGGCAGAUGCAAACUAUUAUCUAUAGGAUGGAUAAUCAACAAGGUCCUACUGUAUAGCACAGGGAGAUAUAUUCAAUGUCCUGUGAUAAACCAUAAUGGAAAAGAAUAUGAAAAGAAUAUAUAUAUGUAUAACUGAAUCACUUUGCUGUACAGCACAAACUAACACAACACUGUAAAUCAACUAUACUUCAGUAAAAUUAAAAAAAUAAAAUUAAGUGCUUCUCAAACAUUUUCUAAAGAGGGUGAAAUGUGAAGUUUUGGCAAAUACCCAAAAGUUUUGAAAAAGCAGAAAUACCAGAAAAUGAAGAACUAAAAUGUUCCCUAAUGUGUAUAAUUAAAAAAAAAAGACUAAUUGGCACCACCUUAUGGAAUCAGUGUAAAAAUAUAUAGAUCAUGUCAGCCCUUAAAGAUAUUAAUGAUUGAGUGAUAUGAUAAUCUAAGGGGAGUUGAAUGAUAUGUUGGCAACUAAAGUCACUCUCACAGUUUCUUGGACGUUUUGCAAUAUGAUUCUCCUUAGUGGGUCUUGAGAGGGUGAGAUCACCAUCAAGGCAGCAAAGAAUCUCUCGGGUUGAUUACAGCCAUCGAGGGAGAGCAGAUGAUUCUUUGCAUCCAUGAAAAUAAAUAUUUGCCACAAACCCCAUAGACAGCAGUCUUCAUGGGGACAUUAAGUCCCACUGAUGGGUUCUUUAUUUCUGUCCCUGUCUGACCAAGCUCUGGUGUGUGUGUGUCUGACUCUGUCCGCUUCUGGCUGAGGCUGAAGGAGGUGAGGAAAAGGCACAAGGACAGAGAAGACAGAACUGAGCGUUGGGUCAUGCUUGCUGUGCGCUGGAGAGAAUUUCAGAACCAAAUACCUGCUGUAUAGCACAGGGAACUCUACUCGUAUCUUGUAAUAACCUAUAAGGGAAAAGAAUCUGAAAAAGAAUAGAUAGAUAAAUGUAUAACUGAAUCACUUUGCUGUACACCUGAAACUAACACAACUGUAAAUCAAUUAUAUUUCAAUAAAAAUUUGAAAAAAAUCAUCUGUGGGAUAUCAGUCAGUUGUAAUACUAUGCAGCCAAUAAACUGAUAAUUACAUUGACAAUUUUGACACAUGAAAAA